rnacentral:misc_RNA from 1 species
AAGUCGUAACAAGGUUUCCGUAGGUGAACCUGCGGAAGGAUCAUUAAAAAAAAAUUUAAUGAAUGGUCGGAGGGGAACAUUUUUUGUUCCCCUUUGGCUUUAUUCAACCAACCCGCUCUUGUAUUUUGUAUCAAACAAAAAAUUUCUUUAAAACUAAUAAAAAAUAGUAAUGUAAAAAAAAACUUUCAACAACGGAUCUCUUGGCUCUC